GUCAUAGCUCAGUGGCACAGCAUCUGCUCUGCAUGCAGAAAGUCUCAGGUUCAAUCCCUGGUAUCUCCA